AGCCAAGAAGAGAAAGUCAGAUAAGAAUCCAAAUUCACCAAGAAGAUCCAAAUCCAUGAAACAUAAAAAUGACUAAACAACAGAAGAAACGAACCAGAGAAAAUUUCCACGUCAAAGAAGGUGGAGCCGCAGAGUGCACCUACUCAUUAUGUAAUCGUCA